rnacentral:rRNA from 17 species
UUAAAUUGAAGAGUUUGAUCAUGGCUCAGAUUGAACGCUGGCGGCAGGCCUAACACAUGCAAGUCGAACGGUAACAGGAAGCAGCUUGCUGCUUCGCUGACGAGUGGCGGACG